rnacentral:rRNA from 1 species
AGAAUCCGAUCACGGCUCACUGUAGGUGUGUUGUGGGCUUGCCCUGUCCCGUGCAACCCGGAACCAGAGACCAACCUGUGAUUCCGUUCGGGAUGAUAUCGGGCGGGUCGAUAUGUGUUAUCGGGUGAUUAUACUUUGUGGGUAAUCUACUCCUGUAGGUGGGGGAUAACCUUCCGAAAGGAGGGCUAACCC